UACGAAGGGGCUAGCGUUGCUCGGAAUCACUGGGCGUAAAGGCGCGUAGGCGGCCAUUCAAGUCGGGGUGAAAGCCUGUGGCUCAACCACAGAAUUGCCUUCGAUACUGUUUGGCUUGAGUAGUGGCAGAGGUUGGUGAACUGCGAGUGUAGAGGUGAAAUUCGAUAGAUAUUCGCGAAGAACACCAGUGGCGAAGGCGGCCAACUGGCCAUUA
rnacentral:rRNA from 1 species